AUUGAACGCUGGCGGCAGGCCUAACACAUGCAAGUCGAGCGAGCGGCGGACGGGUGAGUAAUGUCUGGGAAUCUGCCUGAUGGAGGGGGAUAACUACUGGAAACGGUUGCUGAUACCGCAUACCAUCGAAUGUGCCCAGAUGGGAUUAGCUAGUAGGUGGGGUAAAGGCUCACCUAGGCGACGAUCCCUAGCUGGUCUGAGAGGAUGAACAGCCACACUGGAACUGAGACACGGUCCAGACUCCUACGGGAGGCAGCAGUGGGGAAUAUUGCACAAUGGGCGCAAGCCUGAUGCAGCCAUGCCGCGUGUAUGAAGAAGGCCUUCGGGUUGUAAAGCACUUUCAGCGGGGAGGCGUUACUCGCAGAAGAAGCACCGGCUAACUCCGUGCCAGCCGCCGCGGUAAUAC
rnacentral:rRNA from 1 species